CCGGGAAGGCGAGAUCAAAGAAGAAGAGUCCGUCGUGGUACGGCGUGCCGGCGGUGCCGACUAUGACGGCGCGAAGGAGAUCGAUCCGGUUCUCGUAAACCCGGACGAAUAUGGAUUCGGGUAAGUGCUUUUCGAGGAUUUUCCACUCUUGCAUGAUCUUCUUGUGGGACCCCGCUGGGAAGUGAUCCCUGCCGUUCUUUUUUGUGAAGCUUGAGGUGAUGUAGUGGUGGUCGGACACGUCUGACACGACGUCGAAUCGGGGGAAGGAGAUUGUCUCUUCGAUUUCGCCGUUGGGCUUUUGCGGGUUGGUGUUUAUAGUGAGAGCCAUUUUCGUUUCUUCGGUCUCUGUUCUGU
rnacentral:lncRNA from 1 species